GGGGAUGGUGGGGACGACUGUUGGGACCGCCUCUGCUAAAGAGGAGGAAGGAAUGGGCAACGGUAGGUCAGCAUGCCCCGAAUUAUCUGGGCUACACGCGGGCUACAAUGGGUGGGACAAUGGGUAUCGACACCGAAAGGUGAAGGCAAUCUCCUAAACCCAUCCGUAGUUCGGAUUGUGGGCUGCAACUCGCCCACAUGAAGCUGGAAUCUGUAGUAAUCGUGUCUCAAAAAUGGCACGGUGAAUAUGUCCCUGCUCCUU
rnacentral:rRNA from 1 species